GAUGAAGCGUUGAAUUGAAGCCCGAGUAAACGGCGGCCGUAACUAUAACGGUCCUAAGGUAGCGAAAUUCCUUGUCGGUUAAAUACCGACCUGCAUGAAUGGCGUAACGAGAUGGGAGCUGUCUCAACCAGAGAUUCAGUGAAAUUGUAGUGGAGGUGAAAAUUCCUCCUACCCGCGGCAAGACGGAAAGACCCCGUGGACCUUUACUACAACUUAGCACUGCUAACGGGAAUAUCAUGCGCAGGAUAGGUGGGAGGCUUUGAAGUAAGGGCUUUGGCCCUUAUGGAGA
rnacentral:rRNA from 1 species